CGAGCUACAAGCUGCCGUGAUGGGCAGCCGC
rnacentral:sRNA from 1 species